CGCGAGGAGGGGAUCGUGGUGGGUCGGAGGGAAGGUGGUGCGGAGGCCGGAUCUUCUGCCGUUGGGUGGUCGCCGGAGAGGACAAGGUUGAGAUCUUUUCCCUCCUGAUCCCCUUUUCCUUCCUGCCAUGGCUGCCGGUACCCGUGCGCGCCAGUUUUCCUAGUCCCAGGCAUGGGAGACCAAGGCCACUCAUCCAUGGCGUCGCGAUUCAGGCAUGGCGAUGAAUAUCACAUCACAUGGACGACAUGGGGACGCCACGUGGAUAUGGCGGACGCCACGGGCCAAAAAUAUUGCUCACCUGGACGCCUCGGGCUGGGACCGCGCCACAACAUUAUAUCGCCGCUAUAGUGGCGGUAUACCGACGCCAUAAAAACCUUGGUAGUGGUGGCAUGGCUUGCGGCGGCUGCCAAGGGAGAGGCAGCUCAAUUUGUUUCUUGGGAGAGGAGUGGGUUGGGUGCUAGGUUUCCAAACCAAAGGGCAAGCCGAUAUAGUCAAAAUUCUGACAGGUGUUCUUUUUUUGUGGUUGCUCCACUCAAGAUUGGGAUUCUUAAAGGAAGGGAAAAUAAUACUAGGAGGGGCAGAGGGCGACCAAAGUUGACAUAGGAGUAGGCGGUAAAAAGGGACUUGAGGGAUUUGAAUGUACCUAGAGAUUUGGCUCUUGAUAGGACUGCAUGGAAAUCAGCAAUCCAUGUGCCGGAAUCUUAAUUUACUCGUACUUGUUUUACUCUUUUC